rnacentral:rRNA from 1 species
AUUGAACGCUGGCGGCAUGCUUUACACAUGCAAGUCGAACGGCAGCACGAAAGAGCUUGCUCUUUUGGUGGCGAGUGGCGAACGGGUGAGUAAUGCAUCGGAACGUACCGAGUAAUGGGGGAUAACUGUCCGAAAGGAUAGCUAAUACCGCAUACGCUUUGAGAAGGAAAGUGGGGGCUCUUCGGACCUCACGUUAUUCGAGCGGCCGAUGUCUGAUUAGCUAGUUGGUGGGGUAAAGGCCUACCAAGGCGACGAUCAGUAGCGGGUCUGAGAGGAUGAUCCGCCACACUGGGACUGAGACACGGCCCAGACUCCUACGGGAGGCAGCAGUGGGGAAUUUUGGACAAUGGGCGCAAGCCUGAUCCAGCCAUGCCGCGUGUCUGAAGAAGGCCUUCGGGUUGUAAAGGACUUUUGUUAGGGAAGAAAAGGAUAGUGUUAAUACCAUUAUCUGCUGACGGUACCUAAAGAAUAAGCACCGGCUAACUACGUGC